AAAGUUAAAAUCCAUUUCAAACUCUAGUUAAAACCCUAUUCCCUUUUGCGGUAACAGCAGCCUCAAGAACUGCUCCAUCCUCUCCUCUAUUUUUCAAGCUGAACUCCCCCUUCCAACUUCGAUUUAGACGAAGAGAAUUAAAGAUGUCGACGGCGCGCCUCUUUUGGAUGAACAUGCAUGGUGGAUUCGAGGAAUCGCUGAACGUGGGGUGAUGGGGCCGUUGCUGCAGAUGGAGAACGUGCGAGCGGCGCGAUCUGCAGUUUCUGCUUCCAUUGCUGCUGAAAACAUGUUGUGGGCUAGGGUUAACUUUGGGCCAUUUGGGCCAAAUGUAUUUGGUUUAUUGGGCUGUGCAAAUGGUUUUGGGCCCCGGGCAACAAUUGGGUAUCACAAACUUUAAUAUAAACAUAUAAAUUAAAUAAACACAAUUCAACAUGGCAUCAAAUAAAAUAGUAAGUUAUAUAUGAA